GUGCUCCCGUGGCGGAACUGGUAGACGCGUCUGCUUGCCACGCAGAUGACCGCGAGGUCGUGUGGGUUCGACUCCCACCGGGGCACGCCA
rnacentral:tRNA from 1 species